UGCGGAGGAUCCAAGCGUUAUCCGGAAUCAUUGGGUUUAAAGGGUGCGUAGGCGGCACUUUAAGUCAGGGGUGAAAUACGGCAGCUUAACUGUCGCAGUGCCUUUGAUACUGAAGUGCUUGAAUGCGGUUGAAGACGGCGGAAUGAGACAAGUAGCGGUGAAAUGCAUAGAUAUGUCUCAGAACACCGAUUGCGAAGGCAGCUGUCUAAGCCGUUAUUGACGCUGAUGCACGAAAGCGUGGGGAUCAAACAGG
rnacentral:rRNA from 1 species